rnacentral:rRNA from 1 species
GAUGAACGCUGGCGGCGUGCUUAACACAUGCAAGUCGAACGAUGAAGCCCAGCUUGCUGGGUGGAUUAGUGGCGAACGGGUGAGUAACACGUGAGUAACCUGCCCUUAACUCUGGGAUAAGCCUGGGAAACUGGGUCUAAUACCGGAUAGGAGCGCCUACCGCAUGGUGGGUGUUGGAAAGAUUUAUCGGUUUUGGAUGGACUCGCGGCCUAUCAGCUUGUUGGUGAGGUAAUGGCUCACCAAGGCGACGACGGGUAGCCGGCCUGAGAGGGUGACCGGCCACACUGGGACUGAGACACGGCCCAGACUCCUACGGGAGGCAGCAGUGGGGAAUAUUGCACAAUGGGCGAAAGCCUGAUGCAGCGACGCCGCGUGAGGGAUGACGGCCUUCGGGUUGUAAACCUCUUUCAGUAGGGAGGAAGCGAAAGUGACGGUACCUGCAGAAGAAGCACCGGCUAACUACGUG